rnacentral:rRNA from 1 species
UACGUAGGGGCCUAGCGUUGUCCGGAUUUAUUGGGCGUAAAGAGCUCGUAGGCGGUUUGGUGAGUCGGGUGUGAAAUCUCCACGCUCAACGUGGAGGGGCCACCCGAUACUGCCAUGACUAGAGUCCGGUAGGGGAGUGUGGAAUUCCCGGUGUAGCGGUGAAAUGCGUAGAUAUCGGAAGGAACAUCAGUGGCGAAAGCGACUUCCUGGACCAAUACUGACGCUCAUGUGCGAAAGCGUGGGGAGCAAACAGG